rnacentral:misc_RNA from 1 species
CGCAGCCGCGGUAAUUCCAGCUCCAAUAGCGUAUAUUAAAGUUGUUGCAGUUAAAAGCUCGUAGUUGAAUUUCGGGAUCAAUAUAUCGGUCGUGCCUUGGUACGUACUGGUAUCAUUGGUUUCUCCUUUCUGACGAACCAUGAUGUCAUUAAUUUGGUGUUAUGGGAAGUUAGGACUGUUACUUUGAAAAAUUAGAGUGUUUAAAGCAGGCUUUGGCUUGAAUACAUUAGCAUGGAAUAAUGAAAUAGGACGUUUGAUUCUAUUUUGUUGGUUUCUAGGAUCGACGUAAUGAUUAAUAGGGAUAGUUGGGGGCAUUAGUAUUCAAUUGUCAGAGGUGAAAUUCUUGGAUUUAUUGAAGACUAACUACUGCGAAAGCAUUUGCCAAGGAUGUUUU